rnacentral:lncRNA from 1 species
UGCAUUCAGCUCUGCAAAUCAACCAACUUCCUGCAAAGAAAGUAAGAAACCUUGAAAAUGGUUUUUAAUAAAUUACUCAUGCUUUUCACGUUAGUCAUUGCAACUCACAUCAGUAUUGCUACAAGCAUAUAACAGAAGUGGAUCAUCAUUACAUGAGUUAUCUAUUGGUCUUGUGUGCCUUAAAAGAAUUUAGGCAGCAGUGACUGACUUCCAAAACACAAUCCUCAAGAAGCUCCUGAAACAAGAUCACGAAUCACCAGCACCUGAGAGCAAUCUUCUCAAAGUGGCAGUCAGUCACUGCUGCUAAAGUUCUCACUGCUUCACACCACAAUAUAAAAAGAAAUAAGAUUGGUUAUCAUAAGAAAAUUUGACAAGUAAAUACGUAGAAAGAUUACCAUAGUCGACCAUGUUUGCAUUUCAAUAUCAUAGUCCUACCAGCUAAAGGACUAAAGCAUGCAUGACCAAUGAUACUACUCACAAAUUAGCUAAGGACUAAUUUCAAUUCUUUCUGCAAAUCAACUCUGGACAUGGAAACUAAUCAGGAAGACCAUAACAUGCUUUAGUUGGACAGCUAUACUGGAGGCAUGCUUGAGACAAGAUAACCUUUGUAAAAGAGAUUUUCC